rnacentral:rRNA from 1 species
GACGAACGCUGGCGGCGUGCCUAAUACAUGCAAGUAGAACGCACAGGAUGCACCGUAGUUUACUACACCGUAUUCUGUGAGUUGCGAACGGGUGAGUAACGCGUAGGUAACCUGCCUGGUAGCGGGGGAUAACUAUUGGAAACGAUAGCUAAUACCGCAUAAGAACAUUUACUGCAUGGUAGAUGUUUAAAAGGUGCAAAUGCAUCACUACCAGAUGGACCUGCGUUGUAUUAGCUAGUAGGUGAGGUAACGGCUCACCUAGGCGACGAUACAUAGCCGACCUGAGAGGGUGAUCGGCCACACUGGGACUGAGACACGGCCCAGACUCCUACGGGAGGCAGCAGUAGGGAAUCUUCGGCAAUGGGGGGAACCCUGACCGAGCAACGCCGCGUGAGUGAAGAAGGUUUUCGGAUCGUAAAGCUCUGUUGUUAAGGAAGAACGAGUGUGAGAAUGGAAAGUUCAUACUGU